ACCAUUAGAAAAUAACAAACUUGUGGGGCGUAAAUUUAUUCACAUUCAGACGUAAUUCCAUGGAGUAAUUCAUGUCUACAUUAAAGUAGAUGGUUACUUAAAAUACGUGUGGUGCUCAUCAUGGAGAGUUAAUGAAUAAAUAAUCGUGCGGGCUAUAAAAUCAAGU
rnacentral:ribozyme from 1 species